rnacentral:lncRNA from 1 species
GUGUUUCUGUUCCUGUGGAGUGCAGCUGAAAUGACCGCUACUGCUCCUUCACAGUAUAUUUACAUGAGCUUCCUGUGGACAUCAGCACCAUUUAAAAUUAAGGCUGGAACACAGAUGUGGGGCUGGAAGUGGAGCAGCCCCUUUUAGCCAUGAGGCCCAAAGCCACAUGCUAAGGAUGGUGAAGCAGGGGAUAGAAAGAGCCUGUGUCUUUGCUGACUUCCUUAAGCCACGGCACCAGCCUGGGCCUGCCCUACUCUGGACAUCUAAAUGUCAGGAGCUAAGAAUCAAGUCAGUCUAGAGGUGUUCGUUGCCAUGUGGAGAGAUCCUUCCCAAGAAGAAAGAUGCUACAAAGUGUCCUGGAAAUCCUCUUUGCCCAUCCAGAUCCACCCUCCCUAGCCUGCUCUGUACCUCAGGAAGCUGCUUUUCAUGGUUCACAUAAACCAGGCUCCUGUACCCUCCAGAUAGGUCCAUCCUAUGGGUGGUACCAGCAGGAGACCAGAGAGAUGAAGGAGGGAAAAAAAGAACAUUAGGGGUUGAAUUGUAUCACCCCAAAAUUCAUAUGGUGAAGUAUAACCCCUUCGGAAUGUAACCUUAUUGGAAAUGUCAGAGGCACGUGAACCAGAGCAACUCCAUCUUGAAUAGGGGCUGGGUAAAAUG